UUUACCUUCAAGUAACGUCUCGGCUGCGGCGUUCAAGCACUCCUUCACAACAGUCGUGUCACUGAAAUGAGCAUUCAUUUGCACGUUGCUGGCCUGUAAAUGAGUGUGUGAAGACACGCGUAGACCUCACGUACUGAGCUCUCAGCUCAGAUAAUUUCCACGCUCUUACUUCUGACUUCUGGGGAUACUUUUCCUUGAAGGAUCUGUGUUUGGAUUCGUAAUGCCACUUAAUAUUCCCGCUUUUUAUCAGCGCCACGGUUUCAACACAUAAAAGACACAACAAAGGUUUUAAAAUGUCUGUUUUCGGGGUCAACUUUCCUUAUUUUCGAGCAAGCCAUUUUCUCAUUCCAAAUCGCUCUUCCGGUAAACAAAAAAUUUGAUUGGCUAUUUUUUGAGUGACGCUAUUACGCACAUGCCGUGACAGACGGAGGGAGGGGGGGAGUUCGGUGAGUGCAUGAU